rnacentral:rRNA from 1 species
UACGUAGGGGGCAAGCGUUGUCCGGAUUUAUUGGGCGUAAAGAGCGUGUAGGCGGCCUGACAGGUCUGCUGUGAAAACUCGAGGCUUAACCUCGAGAUGUCAUCGGAAACCAUUUGGCUAGAGUCCGGAAGAGGAAAGUGGAAUUCCUGGUGUAGCGGUGAAAUGCGCAGAUAUCAGGAGGAACACCGGUGGCGAAGGCGGGUCUCUGGGCCGAAAUUGACGCUGAGGAGCGAAAGCGUGGGGAGCAAACAGG